CAACGCUGGCGGCGUGCCUAAUACAUGCAAGUCGAGCGGAUCUUCAUUAGCUUGCUUUUGAAGAUCAGCGGCGGACGGGUGAGUAACACGUGGGCAACCUGCCUGUAAGACUGGGAUAACUUCGGGAAACCGGAGCUAAUACCGGAUAAUCCUUUCCCUCACAUGAGGGAAAGCUGAAAGACGGUUUCGGCUGUCACUUACAGAUGGGCCCGCGGCGCAUUAGCUAGUUGGUGAGGUAACGGCUCACCAAGGCAACGAUGCGUAGCCGACCUGAGAGGGUGAUCGGCCACACUGGGACUGAGACACGGCCCAGACUCCUACGGGAGGCAGCAGUGGGACCGCCA
rnacentral:rRNA from 1 species